rnacentral:rRNA from 1 species
UUACUCUUUCUGUUUCUUACGCAUGUCACUACAGCGUGAGGAAAUGAGAGCAAACAGAGAUUGCUCUGUAACUUGCGAGUGAAGAGGGCAGUAGCUCGAAAUAGCAAAGACAGACGUCUUCGACGUCCCGCGUAGGUCUUUGUAGAGGAUGCUUGAGGAUAGAUUCCUGCAUAAGUCUCCUGGAACCGGGCGUCAUAGAGCGUGUAGAAUCCCAUAUGUGCCGGGCAGUCUAAGCCAUGUGAAGCUCCUUCGCUCGAGUCGAGGAGUUUUGUAAUGCAGCUCUAAAUGGGAGGUAAAGAUCUUCAUAUGCUAUAUAUUGACCAGAGACCCAUAGCGCGCAAGUAGACUGAUCGAGAGAUGAAAAGCACUUUGGCACGAGAGUUAGAAAGUACAAGAAAUCGUUGAAAGGGAAGAAGGGGCACCCUCACUCCCUGACAGUGGCUCAGCCGGCCCUCCGGCGUUUUUGCUCUUCCACUAUCGGGCCAGCAUCAGUUAUGGGGGCAGCCUAAAGGAGUCGGGAAUGUAGCACCCUUCUCCCUGUGGGAUAGCCCGGCGCGGAAUGUGGCCAGCCCGGGGGCGGGAUCUCGCUUGUGCAAGGAUGCGGGCGUAAUGGUAAUGAUCGGCCCCUCUUGAUACACGGACCAAGGAGUGGGUGUUGUAUUCGAGUGUUUGGGUGUGAGACCCAUGCCCGUACGGAAAAUGAAAGGAGGUGGGGGCCCCUCCCGGGGUGCACCAUCGACCGAUCCUGAUGUUUUCGGAUGGAUUUGAGUAAGAGCAUAGCUGUUGGGACCCGAAAGAUGGUGAACUAUGCCUGAAUAGGGUGAAGCCAGAGGAAACUCUGGUGGAGGCUCGCAGCGGUUCUGACGUGCAAAUCGAUCGUCAAAUUUGGGUAUAGGGGCGAAAAGACCUAAAUUCA